ACUACGGGUGGCAGCAGUGGGGAAUAUUGCACAAUGGGGGGAACCCUGAUGCAGCGACGCCGCGUGGGUGAAGGAGCGUUUCGGCGCGUAAAGCCCUAUCGGCAGGGAAGAAGAUGACGGUACCUGACCCAGAAGCCCCGGCUAACUACGUGCCAGCAGCCGCGGUAAUACGUAGGGGGCAAGCGUUAUCCGGAUUUACUGGGGGUAAAGGGGGCGCAGAAGGCAAUGCAAGCCAGGAGGGCAAGCCCGGGGCCCAACCCCGGGACUGCUCGUGGAACUGCCUGGCUGGAGUAGAGGAGGGGCAGGCGGAAGUCGUAGUGUAGCGGUGAAAUGCGUAGAUAUUAGGAGGAACACCGGUGGCGAAGGCGGCCUGCUGGACUGUGACUGACGUUGAGGCCCGAAGGCGUGGGGAGCAAACAGGAUUAGAUACCCCAGUAGUC
rnacentral:rRNA from 1 species